CCUACGGGGGGCAGCAGUGGGGAAUAUUGGACAAUGGGGGGAACCCUGAUCCAGCCAUGCCGCGUGUGUGAAGAAGGCCCUCGGGUUGUAAAGCACUUUCAGUGAGGAAGAACGCCUGGUGGUUAAUACCCAUCAGGAAAGACAUCACUCACAGAGGAAGCACCGGCUAACUCCGUGCCAGCAGCCGCGGUAAUACGGAGGGUGCGAGCGUUAAUCGGAAUUACUGGGCGUAAAGCGCGCGUAGGUGGCUUGAUAAGCCGGUUGUGAAAGCCCCGGGCUCAACCUGGGAACGGCAUCCGGAACUGUCAAGCUAGAGUGCAGGAGAGGAAGGUAGAAUUCCCGGUGUAGCGGUGAAAUGCGUAGAGAUCGGGAGGAAUACCAGUGGCGAAGGCGGCCUUCUGGACUGACACUGACACUGAGGUGCGAAAGCGUGGGUAGCAAACAGGAUUAGAUACCCGUGUAGUC
rnacentral:rRNA from 1 species